ACACCUGAUCAGUUGUGCACUCUUGUGUCAUGGUUAUCUGUCGUAGUUUGAAGUUUCCUGUUCUUAUUUUGAAGUUCUCUCUCAUGUGUCUCUGUGCACUUUACUUCCUGCCUUUGUCUUUCCCUCCAGUGUGGAUUGUUGUCUUGAUUUGUUUCAUCUGUUUGUCCUGAGUUCAGUUCGUCUGUUUAGUCUCUUUCAGCUUCAAGUUCCUUAUCCUGCCUUGUUUUUCCUGAACAGUUUGAGUUCGCCUGUUUGUUUCCUGCCAGUUUCAGCCACUUCUUUGUUAGAAACCAUGGAGGAGACAACCGACCAGGUGGUGUAAGAUGAAGCUGCGCUGGCACACACAGACUGUGGAGAUGACUGUUUUUGU